rnacentral:rRNA from 1 species
AGUGAACGCUAGCGGUAGGCCUAACACAUGCAAGUCGAACGGCAGCACAGUAAGAGCUUGCUCUUACGGGUGGCGAGUGGCGGACGGGUGAGGAAUACAUCGGAAUCUACUUUUUCGUGGGGGAUAACGUAGGGAAACUUACGCUAAUACCGCAUACGACAUACGGGCGAAAGCAGAGGAUCUUCGGACCUUGCGCGACUGAAUGAGCCGAUGCCGGAUUAGCUAGUUGGCGGGGUAAGGCCCACCAAGGCGACGAUCCGUAGCUGGUCUGAGAGGAUGAUCAGCCACACUGGAACUGAGACACGGCCCAGACUCCUACGGGAGGCAGCAGUGGGGAAUAUUGGACAAUGGGCGCAAGCCUGAUCCAGCCAUACCGCGUGGGUGAAGAAGGCCUUCGGGUUGUAAAGCCCUUUUGUAGGGAAAGAAAAGCAGCAGUUUAAAACGCCGCUGGUUUGACGGUACCCAACGAAUAAGCACCGGCUAACUUCGUG